rnacentral:tRNA from 1 species
GCCGAAGUGGCGGAACUGGUAGACGCGCUAGGUUCAGGACCUAGUCGAAGUAUUUCGGCGGGAGUUCGAAUCUCCCCUUCGGCACCA